rnacentral:rRNA from 1 species
CCAGGCUAAUACCGCAUACGUCCUACGGGAGAAAGGGGGCUUCGGCUCCCGCUAUUGGAUGAGCCUAUGUCGGAUUAGCUAGUUGGUGAGGUAAAGGCUCACCAAGGCAACGAUCCGUAGCUGGUCUGAGAGGAUGAUCAGCCACAUCGGGACUGAGACACGGCCCGAACUCCUACGGGAGGCAGCAGUGGGGAAUAUUGGACAAUGGGGGCAACCCUGAUCCAGCCAUGCCGCGUGUGUGAAGAAGGCCCUCGGGUUGUAAAGCACUUUCAGCGAGGAAGAACGCCUAUCGGUUAAUACCCGGUAGGAAAGACAUCACUCGCAGAAGAAGCACCGGCUAACUCCGUGCCAGCAGCCGCGGUAAUACGGAGGGUGCAAGCGUUAAUCGGAAUUACUGGGCGUAAAGCGCGCGUAGGUGGCUUGAUAAGCCGGUUGUGAAAGCCCCGGGCUCAACCUGGGAACGGCAUCCGGAACUGUCAGGCUAGAGUGCAGGAGAGGAAGGUAGAAUUCCCGGUGUAGCGGUGAAAUGCGUAGAGAUCGGGAGGAAUACCAGUGGCGAAGGCGGCCUUCUGGACUGACACUGACACUGAGGUGCGAAAGCGUGGGUAGCAAACAGGAUUAGAUACCCUGGUAGUCCACGCCGUAAACGAUGUCGACCAGCCGUUGGGUGCCUAGAGCACUUUGUGGCGAAGUUAACGCGAUAAGUCGACCGCCUGGGGAGUACGGCCGCAAGGUUAAAACUCAAAUGAAUUGACGGGGGCCCGCACAAGCGGUGGAGCAUGUGGUUUAAUUCGAUGCAACGCGAAGAACCUUACCUACCCUUGACAUCUACAGAAGCCGGAAGAGAUUCUGGUGUGCCUUCGGGAACUGUAAGACAGGUGCUGCAUGGCUGUCGUCAGCUCGUGUUGUGAAAUGUUGGGUUAAGUCCCGUAACGAGCGCAACCCUUGUCCUUAUUUGCCAGCGAGUAAUGUCGGGAACUCUAAGGAGACUGCCGGUGACAAACCGGAGGAAGGUGGGGACGACGUCAAGUCAUCAUGGCCCUUACGGGUAGGGCUACACACGUGCUACAAUGGCCGGUACAAAGGGCUGCGAGCUCGCGAGAGUCAGCGAAUCCCUUAAAGCCGGUCUCAGUCCGGAUCGGAGUCUGCAACUCGACUCCGUGAAGUCGGAAUCGCUAGUAAUCGUGAAUCAGAAUGUCACGGUGAAUACGUUCCCGGGCCUUGUACAC